CUAACUUUAAAUGACAGGCAAACGGAGAGGGGUUGGACGCUCUUCUACAACUUAACGACAAAGUAAAAGUGAGAAAUAGCCUUUAAGACUACAGCAAGUUUAGAACGGAAACGCCAGGCCGGGUUUUGCAAUAGCGCUAUCACUGGUAGCAAACACCCCCCCACCCCACCCUACAGCCUACAGAGGUCUCCGUGGCUUCUAGAAGGGCCAGUUCGAGCUCACCAGGAGCUGCAACGCCCAAGCCGGCAGCGGGCCAGAGGAGCACCGCCCCGAACCGCUUUCCUGCAGUUCGGUUCCUUGGGCAUGGCAGCCUCAGAGAGAGACCUGGGUGGCUGCCAGUGUUCGCUCCCGGCGGCGGGAAGGUCUCGAAAUCUCUAGGCUGGAGAUUUCACCUGGUAAGGGUCCGAAAGGGCCCCUUCUACCACCACGUGACAUUCAAACCGCCUGAGUCCCGUGCCCAGCGCAUCCACUGCGAUGCCAGAGUGCAUUUGAGGAUGCCCAUGAAGUAGCACCGACCUCGCCUGGCACAGAAGAGAGAGCCGCUGUUUGGUGAUUGCCUUCAGUGAGAAAUCCUUCUCUUCAGAGAACCAUGUAUUUCUCCAGGACAGACAGAACAUAUUCAUCCAGAGACUGGGGAGAUGGCUCUCUGACUAAGAGCACUGACUGCUCUUCCACAGAUCCUGAGUUCAAUUGCCAGCAACCACAUGGUGACUCAUGAUCAUCUAUAAAAGGAGCUGAUGCCCUCUUCGGGCAUGCAGGUGUACAUGCAGACAGAGCACACAUACAUUAAAAAAAUUAAAAUAAAAUAAAAUAUUCACCUAGCA